rnacentral:rRNA from 1 species
UACGUAGGGUGCGAGCGUUGUCCGGAAUUAUUGGGCGUAAAGAGCUUGUAGACGGUCUGUCGCGUCUGCUGUGAAAAUCCGGGGCUCAACCCCGGACUUGCAGUGGGUACGGGCAGACUAGAGUGUGGUAGGGGAGACUGGAAUUCCUGGUGUGAGCGGUGAAAUGCGCAGAUAUCAGGAGGAACACCGAUGGCGAAGGCAGGUCUCCUGGGC